GACGAACGCUGGCGGCGUGCUUAACACAUGCAAGUCGAACGGUGAACCUCUUCGGAGGGGAUCAGUGGCGAACGGGUGAGUAACACGUGGGCAACCUGCCCCCGGCUCUGGGAUAACUCCAAGAAAUUGGGGCUAAUACCGGAUGUUCACCGCUUCCCGCAUGGGUGGUGGUGGAAAGGGUUUCCGGCUGGGGAUGGGCCCGCGGCCUAUCGGCUUGUUGGUUGGGUAGUGGCCUACCAAGGCGACGACGGGUAGCCGGCCUGAGAGGGUGACCGGCCACACUGGGACUGAGACAGGGCCCAGACUCCUACGGGAGGCAGCAGUGGGGAAUAUUGCGCAAUGGGCGGAAGCCUGACGCAGAGACGCCGCGUGGGGGAUGACGGCCUUCGGGUUGUAAACCUCUUUCAGCAGGGACGAAGCGCAAGUGACGGUACCUGCAGAAGAAGCACCGGCCAACUACGUG
rnacentral:rRNA from 1 species